rnacentral:rRNA from 1 species
GAAGGNCCUUCGGGGUACUCGAGUGGCGAACGGGUGAGUAACACGUGGGUGAUCUGCCCUGCACUUUGGGAUAAGCCUGGGAAACUGGGUCUAAUACCGAAUAGGACCACGCGCUUCAUGGUGUGUGGUGGAAAGCUUUUGCGGUGUGGGAUGGGCCCGCGGCCUAUCAGCUUGUUGGUGGGGUAAUGGCCUACCAAGGCGACGACGGGUAGCCGGCCUGAGAGGGUGACCGGCCACACUGGGACUGAGAUACGGCCCAGACUCCUACGGGAGGCAGCAGUGGGGAAUAUUGCACAAUGGGCGCAAGCCUGAUGCAGCGACGCCGCGUGAGGGAUGACGGCCUUCGGGUUGUAAACCUCUUUCAAUAGGGACGAAGCGCAAGUGACGGUACCUAUAGAAGAAGCACCGGCCAACUACGUGCCAGCAGCCGCGGUAAUACGUAGGGUGCGAGCGUUGUCCGGAAUUACUGGGCGUAAAGAGCUCGUAGGUGGUUUGUCGCGUUGUUCGUGAAAACUCACAGCUUAACUGUGGGCGUGCGGGCGAUACGGGCAGACUAGAGUACUGCAGGGGAGACUGGAAUUCCUGGUGUAGCGGUGGAAUGCGCAGAUAUCAGGAGGAACACCGGUGGCGAANGCGGGUCUCUGGGCAGUAACUGACGCUGAGGAGCGAAAGCGUNNNAGCGAACAGGAUUAGAUACCCUGGUAGUCCACGCCGUAAACGGUGGGUACUANGUGUGGGUUCCUUCCUUGGGAUCCGUGCCGUANCUAACGCAUUAAGUACCCCGCCUGGGGAGUACGGCCGCAAGGCUAAAACUCAAAGGAAUUGACGGGGGCCCGCACAAGCGGCGGANCAUGUGGAUUAAUUCGAUGCNACGCGAAGAACCUUACCUGGGUUUGANNUGCACAGGANGCCGGCNNANAUGUCGGUUCCCUUGUGGNCUGUGUGCAGGUGGNGCAUGGCUGUCNUCAGCUCGNGUCGUGAGAUGUUGGGUUAANUCCCGCAACGAGCGCAACCCUUGUCCUAUGUUGCCAGCGGGUUAUGCCGGGG